rnacentral:tRNA from 1 species
UCCCUCGUAGCUCAGUUGGUAAAGUGUCUGCUUGCAACACAGAAGACCCAGGUUCCAUCCCUGGGAUGGGAA